GACGAACGCUGGCGGCGUGCUUAACACAUGCAAGUCGAACGGAAAGGCCUCUUUCGGGGGGUACUCGAGUGGCGAACGGGUGAGUAACACGUGAGUAACCUGCCCUUGACUUUGGGAUAACUUCAGGAAACUGGGGCUAAUACCGGAUAGGAGCUCCUGCUGCAUGGUGGGGGUUGGAAAGUUUCGGCGGUUGGGGAUGGACUCGCGGCUUAUCAGCUUGUUGGUGGGGUAGUGGCUUACCAAGGCUUUGACGGGUAGCCGGCCUGAGAGGGUGACCGGCAACAUUGGGACUGAGAUACGGCCCAGACUCCUACGGGAGGCAGCAGUGGGGAAUAUUGCACAAUGGGUGGAAGCCUGAUGCAGCAACGCCGUGGGCGGGAGGACGGCCUUCGGGUUGGAAACCGCUUUCGCUCAUGACGAAGCUUUGUGUGACGGUAGUGGGUAAAGAAGCACCGGCUAACUACGUG
rnacentral:rRNA from 1 species